GGGUCUGAGAGGAUGAUCCCCCACACUGGUACUGAGACACGGACCAGACUCCUACGGGAGGCAGCAGUGAGGAAUAUUGGUCAAUGGGCGAAAGCCUGAACCAGCCAUGCCGCGUGCAGGAUGACGGCGCUAUGCGUUGUAAACUGCUUUUCUGCUCCAAGAACCCCCCGAUCGUGAUCGGGGUUGACGGUAGAGCAGGAAUAAGCAUCGGCUAACUCCGUGCCAGCAGCCGCGGUAAUACGGAGGAUGCAAGCGUUAUCCGGAUUUAUUGGGGUUUUAAAGGGUGCGUAGGCGGGAUAAUAAGUCAGUGGUGAAAUCCUGCGGCUUAACCGUAGAAUUGUCAUUGAUACUGUUAUUCUUGAGUUCAGUUGAGGUGGCCGGAAUGUAUAAUGUAGCGGUGAAAUGCUUAGAUAUUAUACAGAACACCGAUUGCGAAGGCAGCUCACUAAGCUGAUACUGACGCUGAGGCACGAAAGCGUGGGGAGCGAACAGGAUUAGAUACCCUGGUAGUCCACGCUGUAAACGAUGAUCACUCGCUGUUGGCAAUACAUCGUCAGCGGCUGAGCGAAAGCAUUAAGUGAUCCACCUGGGGAGUACGUCGGCAACGAUGAAACUCAAAGGAAUUGACGGGGGCCCGCACAAGCGGUGGAACAUGUGGUUUAAUUCGAUGAUACGCGAGGAACCUUACCUGGGCUUAAAUGCAGAACGACGGUUCCCGAAAGGGAUCCUUCUUCGGACGGACUGCAAGGUGCUGCAUGGUUGUCGUCAGCUCGUGCCGUGAGGUGUCGGGUUAAGUCCCAUAACGAGCGCAACCCCUAUUGUUAGUUGCCAGCGAGUAAUGUCGGGGACUCUAACGAAACUGCCGGUGUAAACCGAGAGGAAGGUGGGGAUGACGUCAAAUCAGCACGGCCCUUAUGUCCAGGGCUACACACGUGUUACAAUGGUCGAUACAGAGAGAAGCUACUUGGCGACAAGAUGCUAAUCUCGAAAAUCGUUCUUAGUUCGGAUUGGAGUCUGCAACUCGACUUCAUGAAGCUGGAAUCGCUAGUAAUCGCACAUCAGCCAUGGUGCGGUGAUACGUUCCCGGGCAUUGUACACACCGCCCGUCAAGCCAUGGAAGCCGGGGGUACCUAAAGUCCGUAACC
rnacentral:rRNA from 1 species